UCAGCACAGAGCCCGAUGCGGGGCUCGAACCCACGAACUGUGAGAUCAUGACCUGAGCCGAAGUCGGAUGCUUAACUCACCGAGCCACCCAGGCACCCCAAGAAUGAAACUUUCAUACAGAAAAUCUUGUAACCCAAAUGUCGUUGUCUCAGGGCACAUGGUGAACAUAGAAGUGUCUUCAGAGAAAUAUGUAUUGGUCCUUCACAUGCCUUUGUUUACAGUUCAGAUUCUUCUGUCCAUUAAAAAAAUGCAGGAUUUUUUUUUUUUGUAUUUAUCAUGGGCUUACCAGCCUCCCCUCCUUUACAAAAAUAAUCACAAACUAUAAAACAUGUAAGGAUUGAAACAGAAUGUAUGACACUCAUAUAAAGAUGGUUGUGAUUUAAGAGACAGGAAAUGUAAUUAUGUGCAGCUGAAGUUCUUGUCCUUGCUUAUGCAAGGGCACAGUAAAUAUAAAGUUGCCAUACCCCAGGCAGUACACAGUAUUGCUGUAACUUGUUGAAGAGAUAUCAAGAAUCAAAUUUGAAGAUCUCCUUUCCUGACAUAGCACUUUGUGAACUGCCACAAAUAGAUUUGUAUUUAUUUUAGGUGUAUGUUGUUCAAUGAAUGAAUCAAUGAAUAAAAGCCAGAAGUGUCCAUCUCCAAAACUCAUACGGUGAUAGAGUAUCUCUGUCCUUUACAUCCAGGAUUUCUGGGUAGUGUCUCCUUCCCAUUUUGUUCUUUUAGGAAUCCACCUUCAUAUUCUGCAACUUAUGGACUAAAUGGGAAAGAUAACCACUGCCAGUAUUUCUAAUGUAACUAAUAAGGGAAAGGAAGAGGGAAGAGAAAGAUGCAAGAACACUCAAGUAGAUGCAUCACCAUGUUUCUACGUAUCAGCUACUUUUGGAUGAUGACGCAUAUAAUAAGAUCUCUGGAUCUAAAGAGGAUUUAGGAUGGAGGGCCUGGUUGUCACAAAAUAUUCUGCUAAAGAAUUUACAAUUCAGUUGAGAGCAUCUCCUGUUAGAUCCACAUUAGCUGUAAGAGAGUUCACCCGGCUGGAUGUUACUGCAAAGAACAUCAGGAGAAUGAAUAAGGGAUCCAGGGCUGCUGGGAGAUCCUGACUCCUUAGUGAUUGAGUUCUUAGUUUUCCUUAUGAGAGGCCAAAUAGAACAGUGAGAAUCCUCAGGUAAGAUGCAUGUUUUCCAUCUGCCUUUUAUUAUUCGUCCAGGUGGUUCUUGGUUAUAUGUGUGUAUAUUUGGCAUUAAAAUACAUAUACUAUUUAGAGAGAUUUAUUGACAUUUCCUAGCAUUCUGACUUACCCAGACUAGAGUAUUAUGGAAUGAAAUACUGCCUACAUAGCUCUACCAAGGUGUUUCCUUCUAAAAUUUUUUGAUAGAAGGUUAUAAUUUUUGCAUUUUGUUGUUUAUAAGGGUUCAUGAAAAGCACCAUAGUGAGAAGCCUUAGCAGCCCGUGUUUUCAGGUUUUGCACCAGCCAGUGGCAGAAUUUCUAGGUGAAUUUCCCCUUGGGAAUUCCAUUAAGGUUUCUCAAUUUCCUCCUCUUUAUUCCACAUUAAUCUUCAUAUCCUAGGUUUUAGUUAUGACAAUGAGGUAAUUAAGAAUAUCGGGUUCUAUAAUAAACUUACCUGCCUUAAAGGGAAUAGGUAGGGACUUAAAAUAUUUAUUUUCACUAUAUUAAAUAACACAGAAAAAUUAACAGCCAGCUAGCUGGAGCAGUAUGCUCAUAACUGAGGAAAAUUAGGGGAAAACAAAACAAAAACCUGAUUAACUUCUAAGUUUACAAAGCAGCACAUGGCCAGAGGGUCUCUAUAAGUAGAACCAAGAGACAGGCUGAAUUAGAAGUAUGUUUUAGCUUCCAUUUAAAAAUUUGACUUAGUUAUGUUACCUUCUUCCCAUUGUUAAAGACUAAGUCCUGAAGUACUGGAACCAUUUUCUCCCUGAUCAGUGUGUUUACUGGCCAACCUAACUUGUGAUAUAUUUGUUGGUUUAGGUGUAUACUCAACAAUUCAAAAUUCCACUCAUGGAUAAUCUGUUUUAGUCAUGUGAGUUUAGUAGUAUAAAAUGAAAGUCACGUCAGAGAUGUGACUCUUACCCAAGCAGCUCUGGCAUUAUUAGAAAAUCUUCAGGGAGAAGGAAAUCCCUCUCUGGUGGCAAGCUCUUCAUUUUGCAAUUAGAGAGGCCAGCAGUCUCAGAAUUCUAGUAUUUGUUGCUGUGUAGAGGUGAAUCCCAGGCUUUCUUGUCAUAUAUCAAUAUGGCUUCCAGGUACCAUUCCUGGCAGCAUGGUGCCACCUCCUCCACUUAUUUCUUCCCUGGAAGGCACCUGACAAACUACAGGCAGAGGGGAGAUGAUAUAGAUGACAGCUACCUGAACACAACUCCCCUGAAGCCCAUUCCCUUAAGUACCAAAGUUCAGUAGAAAGAUUGCAUGUUGGUUUUUAUGUUCUUAACUCUUUCACUCUUUAACACUGGGCAACCUCCUUCCUUUGUUACCAAUUUGCCUGAAGACAAGAUAUUUUUCUUCUUAAAUUCAUGGUGCCAUCCUAUCUUAUGUCUUGAAUCAUUGAUAGUUGGCUGAGUGAAAAGUAAGUCAGAAUAACUAGAUGUUAUAUGUAUGCCUGGCUGAAACCUUCAUGCCUAAAGUCAUGCCCAUUACUUGCUCAUGUAAACAAGUCAAAUGGCUUUGGGGUAAUUUUUCAAGUGAUACAGGAUUUAUCUUCACUAAACUAGAAUAUAGUGUGUUAAUAUUACCUACAUUUGGAUAUCCAACAGAUCAAACCUUGGCCCCUUGGUAAUUUUGUGUAGAAAGAACUUAACAGCUUGGUAUCUGAUUUCUGCUCUGAGAAGUCUUCACCUACUGUGGCAUUAGAAUCAGAUUCCACUGGAUCUGUGUUUUCCCUGACUGAAGAUUAUUAGAUUAUUAGAUCUAGUAAUAGUGCUAAAAAUACUUAAGCAACCUCAGGUUCCUGGUAAGGCUCACAGACCUUACCUCUAUCAAUAAGGAAGUAUUUUCUGAUGUAUGACUCCAGUUGGCUUUUCUUACUCUCAUUUCUUAAUAAUACCCCAUUGGAUUUAACUGAGAUGUCAGAUGCUUAAGCCCUUUGCAUCUGUGAAGAAAACAUGUUUUCUUAUUUUACGUAUUAAUAAGUGAAUAAGUAAAAAUAAGUGAACUUGUUUUUACAUGUUGAAAAACAUGCCUGCAACAAUAAAUCAAUCAUAGUCAAUAAGACACCACAGACCUAAAUUGAGAUACUUUAGUCAUUAGCACUGAUUAUUUGAGAACAAAAACCAUGAGGCAUUAAAAAAAAAAAAAAGAGGGUUGUAGCUUCCAAUCAUGGGAUGUUCCCAGAAUCAGUUUUUUAGGAAAAAAAAUCAAAGUAAAACACAGACACAUAAUCUUUUCUCUUUUUGUCUUUUCCCCUCCUACUCCAUAUCAGUCUUCAAAACAGUUACAUUUUAAACACUUAUAAAAUCAAACCACCCUCUCCUACAUAUUUAUAUACACAUAUAUAAACAAUAGCUCUUAAAUUAUGAUUUGGGGCAUUACAAACUAUAUGGAAAAAACAUAAGACAAUUGACUUGCAUUUCAAGCUACCCAUGUGUGUAAUAUAUCUGAUUUUAGAACUAGGGAGGAAGAGUAUGUUUUCUUCGAAAUAGCCUCUUAACAAAGUUUGUGACUCAAUUCCUGUCUCUUGCUAUCACAUAGGUAUGUAUAUGAAUCAGUGUGUUGCUAAACACACAUGGUUUUUUGUUUUUUUCAAGUCUGAAUCUCCUAAAUAUAACAAAUCUCAUAUUUGUUAAUUAUGUGGUAUAAUAGAUUGUACUGAUUAUAUUGUAGUGGAGAUUAAAGAUAUUAAUUUAGAAUAGGAGGUGUGCACCAAAAUGAAGAAUGUUAACAUGGCAACCAAAUUUCUGGACUUUUUCUCUUUGGUCAUAUAGAGUAGAUGUAAAAUAUUUGACCCAUUUUCAGUAUAGAAAGUUAUCUUUUGAACUCUACUGGAAUUAAUACGGUUAACCAAUUUAAUAGUAUGUAAAUUUGCAUUUUUGUUGUCUUCUAAUGGCUACUUUGCAUAUUAAAGGUAAAGCCUUCCUUAAAAUAUGCAGUACACUCUUGAUUAUGCCAGCUCUUUUCUCAUUCUGCUAAGGCUAUAAAUAAAGCUUCUAUUUAGAGCUGGCAUUAUAUCAACCCACCUGCUUCUAGAAGAGAGAAAAAAAAUCAGAAUCACUCAACCUGCAGAUUGCUGUCAGCUUGUGAUUAUGUGAAUGGUAAGUCUUAACUUUUAAAGUGUUAUGUGAGAUAGGUUGGAGCUUCUCUUCUCUUUUCUUUUUUUUAAGGCAAUUUCCAGUUUAACAAUUACCCUAAAAUUUCUGAGUACCAAUGAAAGAAGACAUUUCCCUGGAGAGAGCAUUCAUUGAUGAAGUGUGACAGCAGCAGGGAGAUAGAUGACGAUGCAGAGGAGGGCAGAGCUGGAGAAUGAGGGCCUGAAGACAUAUUACAUGUUGCUGAACAGUUUCUGAGCAUAGCCCAUGGAGUUAAAACAAAUGUCUUGACGCAGAGAUGAAGGGAAAACCUGGAAGGGUGAGUUCAUUUACAUGGAGCUGUACUUAAUUUUUCUUCUCCAAGAUCACAUCCCCUCUUUCAUACUGUCUAAAAUAUAAAUAUGUUUGUUCCUACUUGAGUCAUGGAAAGUGACAAAAGUCAGGCUUCAAUGCAGGUGAGAUUUAUAUAAUCCCUUUAAAAAAUAGUCAUCGAAGGGGUGUCUGGUUGGCUCAGUCAGUAGAGCGCAUGACUCUUGAUCUUGGGGUUGUAGGUUUGAACCCUAUUCUGGGUGCAGAGAUAACUUAAAAAAUAAAAACCUAAAAAAGAUACUCAUAGAAGAUUAUACAACUUCUGGGUUUCUCUGAGAACUGAGGAGAACAAAAUAGUUGACAGAACAAUGAAAAAAGAAUCUGCCUUCAACACUGUAGAGCACAUCCUGAAUGCUUUUGUACUAUGGGGGAGUUGUUGGUGAUAAGCAAAAUUUCUGAAAAAGCUUGAGCAAAACUAGAAACCUGACAAAUGUCCUCAGGAACUAGGAAGUAUAAGUCUGGCAAUUAUGGUUUACAUUUUUAAAUUUUGAGACUAUUGGAAGAGUUCAUAAUUACAAAUGCAAUGAAAAUGAAAUGAGGUUUAAAAAAGUGAGUACUAGGAAAAUUUGGACAAAUAGAAAUCCCUCACCAGGAACACACUAAGCCAGAUUGUUUGGUUGGGUUACCUUACUCUAAUGAUAUGCAUUUCAGACACCUGGCGACAUAGAUCAAUUCUCUCAGACUAUCAGAAUUCUAGCCAGAGAAUUUGUUCUUCUAGAGAUUUAAUGCCUAGAGAAAACAAAUAUUUCUCUGAAAAUGCUUCAUAUAUAUUAUGUAUGUGAUACACACACUCACACACACACAAAACUGAAAUGCUGAAUCAACCCAGCAGUUCAAUUCAGAACUAAAUGCAGAGCCAAAGAACUGUAUUUCUUCUUGAGAUACUUUAAGACAAAUCCUCUGCGAAGAAGAGGAGUCAGAGAUGACUACUAAGAAGAGAAUUUGGCCCAUGUGCUCUCUGAGCUGUUACUCUCUACCAUGGCCUACUUUGCUUUAACAAAGAUGUAAUUUAAAGCUAUAAGGGAAAAUUCCUUGUGUGUAACUCCAUACUAAGCCCCAGAGCAAGUUAAUGGAACCCCUGGUCAGAGCUUUACAGAUGUAAAAAAGAAUCCAAGAUCUGCUCCACUAGUGAGAAUGUAGACAAUUAAGAAGCCUCAAGUUAACUGUAAAUCCAUUAGGUGAUAUUUCUGGCAGAAAGCAGCAGAUUCUCCUAGAAAUAUCUGGCUAAUACAUUUUUAUGAUAACACUUAAUGUAGGUGGUAUUUUUUUUGUAAUCUAUUGGAGCCCAAUUCAAGUAGUAAAUUUUACUCUUAUUGGAAACAGUGGGUUUAGGAAUACUUCAGAAGAGGACUACUUUAGUCCACUGUUGACCAAACUGAGUUUGCUGGAACUCUAGUUUUUCAAGAUGUUAACCAUUACAUCAUGAAAGGAAGUGCUUCAUGCUCAAGUAAAUUAGAGAAACCUUAAGGAGACAAUAUUAAACAGAAUUCUUUUUUACAGGACUUUCAGAGGAUUUAUUAGGCUCAUGUAGAUUUUGAACUUCAAGAGGUGGUUAAAGAAUGCAGCAUUUUCCCCACUUAGUAGUCUAUCAAAUUUCUUUUGGAACAGUGCUUGUUAAUAUCUUAAAUACAUAUUAUUCCACAGAUCAGGGUAUGGAAACCCUUGAAAAAGUGCAGUCUUUCUUCUUCCAAUGGAAUAAUCACAAAAUCUUUUAAUCUUUUCAUGGAUGGGUUAACUUUAAUCCAAUUUCAUUUGACUAAGCUGUGUUUGGUUAACUUUUAACAGAAAAUAGCAGAAUCGAAAAGCCAAAAGCCCUUUUGUUAAUUGCUCAGUGUUUUCUCUUUUUGUUGGACAAUAAGAUGAAGUAUUUUCUAUUAAGUUUUGAAAGACUAGCCCUCCAGUUUGUUCUCUUUUCAGUUUGAAAGAUUGCAUUCCACCUGCACACAAGAAAUAGAAAUUGCAGAAAAAUCUUGAUCUGUAUUAUUGGAUAUAUAAUAUCAAGUAAUUGCCAUGAGUGGAAAAUGAAUUUCUAAAAGAUCGAUGAUAAUCACUAGGAAAGUCAAAUGAAAAAUGACUUAAACAGGCAAUUCUUCAAUCUUUCUAUCUCAUUUCUACCCUUUAUUAAGGGAGAAAGGGGUUUUACUGUGCUACUAUCCAACUGGCAAAACAAUUUCUAGACCUGUCACUUUUUUAUUGGGGUCAAUUUAAUUUUAUUGAAGCUCCUCAAAAUUUCAAAUGCUAAAAAAAAAAAAAGCCAGCUUUUUGAAA